rnacentral:rRNA from 1 species
UUAGAUACCCUGGUAGUCCACGCCCUAAACGAUGUCUACUAGUUGUCGGGUCUUAAUUGACUUGGUAACGCAGCUAACGCGUGAAGUAGACCGCCUGGGGAGUACGGUCGCAAGAUUAAAACUCAAAGGAAUUGACGGGGACCCGCACAAGCGGUGGAUGAUGUGGAUUAAUUCGAUGCAACGCGAAAAACCUUACCUACCCUUGACAUGUACAGAAUCCCGAAGAGAUUUGGGAGUGUUCGAAAGAAAACUGUAACACAGGUGCUGCAUGGCUGUCGUCAGCUCGUGUCGUGAGAUGUUGGGUUAAGUCCCGCAACGAGCGCAACCCUUGUCAUUAGUUGCUACGAAAGGGCACUCUAAUGAGACUGCCGGUGACAAACCGGAGGAAGGUGGGGAUGACGUCAAGUCCUCAUGGCCCUUAUGGGUAGGGCUUCACACGUCAUACAAUGGUACAUACAGAGGGCCGCCAACCCGCGAGGGGGAGCUAAUCCCAGAAAGUGUAUCGUAGUCCGGAUUGUAGUCUGCAACUCGACUACAUGAAGUUGGAAUCGCUAGUAAUCGCGGAUCAGCAUGUCGCGGUGAAUACGUUCCCGGGUCUUGUACACACCGCCCGUCACACCAUGGGAGCGGGUUUUACCAGAAGUAGGUAG